rnacentral:ncRNA from 1 species
UAUUUAAUAUGUAAAUAUUACAUUAAAAAUUUAUUUGCAGUUUUUAGUUUUAAAACAUUAUUUAAGUAAGUUUUAGUAAUUAAUUAUAGAUUUAAUAAAAUUUGUGCCAGCAAUUGCGGUUAUACAAAUAAUUCAAUUGAAAUUUAUUGGUUAAUAAUUAAUUUGUUUUAAUUAAUUUAUUAUUAAAAUUUUUAAGUGAAAUUUAAAUUUUAAUAUAAUUUUUUUGUUUAUAUUUGAAGUUAUUAAAAUUAAUAUUAAACUAGGAUUAGAUACCCUAUUAUUAUAAUUGUAAAGUUUAAAUACCAGAUUAGUAUUAGUUGUUUUCUUAAAAAUUAAAGGAUUUGGCGGUAUUUUAGUCUAUUCAGAGGAACCUGUCCUGUAAUUGAUAAUCCACGAUUAAAAUAACUUUUCUUUUUCUUGUAUAUCGUUGUUUUUGAAUAUUUUAUAAAAAUUUAAAUUUUCAAUAAGUAUAUUUUAGUUAAUUUCAAAUCAAGGUGCAGUUUAUAGGAAAGAAGAUGAUGGGUUACAUUAAAUUUAUUUUUGGUUUAAUAUUUUGAAUAAUAUUAUUAAAUUGGAUUUGAUAGUAAUAUUUUAUAUAUUUAUUAUAUGAUUUUAGCUCUAAAAUGUGUACAUAUUGCCCGUCGCUCUCAUUUAUUUGAGAUAAGUCGUAACAAAGUAGAUUUACUGGAAAGUGAAUCUAGUAUUA